GACCAAAAAACUUAGGUAUCUAUCUGGCUAAUGCGGUACUCUACCGAAUUACCUUAAGGAUAUUUGUAUAUCGAGCUCCAAAUUUGAUCUUAUUAAAUCUGGUUCAGAUUUAGUUACUGUUGUCAGUUCUUCUACCUAUCGAAUUUCAUCAAGCUCGAUUUUAGAGGCACUUAUUCCUUCACUAAGAAUUUUUUUUUCAAAAAGUGUGCCUUAC
rnacentral:lncRNA from 1 species